UAAGGUGGUUAUUGCGGCGGGGCUCACCUCUUCCCAUUUCGAACAGAGAAGUUAAGCCCGCCUGCGCCGAUGGUACUGCAUCCUGUGGGAGAGUAGGUCGCUGCCUUUC
rnacentral:rRNA from 1 species